UUAUGCCUUCCUGGACGGACAUGCAGGCUGUGCUGUGUCUUGAGAGGCACCGAGGCCUCACCACGGCUUCAGCCAUGGGCGUCGAUUUCUCCCCUAAAGCUCUGGAGGACACUCUCCGGACUGUUCUCCUGGCUCCUCCAGCUCAGACUGCAGCCCUGUCCCAACACCACCUAGACGGGAGCAGAGCCAGCGGCUGCGGUUACAGGCUCAGAGGAUGUGUUCUUAGAGCUGGAGGCCCUGGGUCAAAGCGGGUGGCAGCUUCCCCGCCCUGUACCUACCCAGCUGCCUUCUAGAAGCUGGGCUGGUCCCACGGACGGAGAAUUCUGCUUCACUCAUCAGCAGCGGCACAAAGCUUCAUCAUGUGAAAUGCUUCCUCCGUGGCUGUGGAAGAAACGGGUUUUCAUUUUGACUCCGGUUGCAUGGAGUUCACGUGCUGUGGUGGGUGUCUGUCUCCUCCAGCUGCAGGCACCAGCCUGGGGGGCUCGGGGGGCCCAAUUCUGGUGUUGAUAUUCAUGGGGACAUAUGUGGACAGGGCCCAGGCGAGGUUUGCUGGUCCCUGAGAAAACAGCCCAAGAGGACCCAUCCCUUCCUCUUCCACUGGCCAAGGUCAGAUCUGAAUGUGGCCAAGGGACCGUCGCAGUCUCUCUCCACCCAGAGGCCUGGCUGCCUGAGCUGUUCAGAGCCUCUGAAUAACCAAGCCUGAGCGUGCCCUGCUGGGUCUGCACUUCUGUUCUUGAAGGCAAUGCACCACGUGCUGCUCCCGCCACCAGCCGUGUGCUUGUGUGUUCUCCAUGGCUGGCGCCUCCUGCGCACCGUGCUGUGGCCUGGCACUCCUCCCGUGUGUGUUCUCCAUGGCUGGGACCUCCCACGUGCCGUGCUGUGGCCUGGCACUCCUCCCGUGUGUGUUCUCCGUGGCUGGUGCCUCCUGCACCAUGCUGUGGCCUGGCACUCCACCCGUGUGUGUUCU
rnacentral:lncRNA from 13 species